ensembl:lncRNA
UACCUGCUGCAGGAGGGCUGUGAGGUUUUAAUAGGGUAAUGGUUGUAGAGCCCUUUGAUGUAGUAAGUUUUAUUAACUUCCAAGGGAUUCCCUGAAGUCAGAAAAAGCAGUUAAAACCCAAGAGAGAAGAAAAGCAUUGAAAGGCAAAGCUCAGCAAAGCAUUUCACUUUCAGCUCUAAUUUCAGAAGCCCAGAGUCCACCGCUCCAGCGUGAGUGGGAAGCAGUGUCCUGGGCUGGGGGCGUGUGACUGGCAUUUGGGAAGGGAGAGCCUUAAUACUGUCUCAGAAGGCACUCGGCUUUCAGUGGAGGUAAAGGGAGGCCUGGCAUGCUGCAGUCCAUGGGGUCGCAAAGAGCUGGACAUGACUGGGGGACUGAACAACACCAUCACCGUGGCGUAUCAUGGAAAACGAGGCACAGCCACGCGGGGCAGAAGUGCCCUGGGAUCUUACCACCCGGCCCUGCUACCAUCGACCUCAGAUCAGAACUAUGGCCUCAGUUUCCUCACCUGUAAAGGGAGGGGACAUGAUGCAAUUCCUUCUCACCUUUUCCUCCAGGAGAAGAGGACACAGACACCUGCCCACGAACUAGCCCAGCCCCACAGGGGAUGCUGUGUGGUUUUCAACAAGAGAGGCAGGCGGUGGGGAUGUGCCAGGGGCCCAUGUCCACUUCUGCUGUGGCUUUCAGCUCCUGAUGUUCACUAGGAGUCCUUUAAUACCCUUUCUGUGAGCAGCAGGCACAUGGCUGGGAAUGUGGCGGCCCUAAACUAACAGCUGAGAGCUCUACAUAGCUCUUUAGGUCACUUUAGCACAUUAUACCCCUGAGAUUCAAACUUUCUCCAAGGUCAUGUUAAGAUUCAAGUUUGGCGAAAUGGAGUGCUGAGUCCAAAAACGAAAACAAUCUAAAAGACCAGGGCUGUUUCCUUUACCCCGGUUUACUGAGCGACACCUUUUCUUGCUGUGGUUUCUAUAAUGGUAUUUUAUUUUACAAUAUAAAGGUAAAGAAAAAUACUCUCUGCUAACAGAGUAAAACCACAUUAAUUACACAUAGGUUUUAUCUUUGUUGCAUAGAUUCUCCAGCCAAACCACUGCUUGGAUUCCCCCUUUGUCUGACCCAGGUAGACAGGCGAGAGGAUCAGAGCUGGGAUUUUUCUGGUUGGGGGCACCUUGCAGGGGUCAGCCGAUUCUUUUAAAGUGCCCUUAACAGGAGCCUAUGUUAAUGAAAGCAGUUUUCUCAUGACAGAUCAGAACCUGGCCUUUAUAGCAUUAAAAAAAAUUUUUUUUUACAUCGAGAAGAAACGGUGAACAAUGAUUGAAUCAAAGCCGCCCUCAGCAGCCUCCCCCAACUCCACCCCAUCUGAGAACAGCCCUGUUUCAAUUUCACCACUGAGUUCAGCCUGCCUGCUCCAGACGUCCAGACCUCGCACUCUAUAAAUCGUCUCUGCCCUUGCCCUGGAGUUGCUGACUAUAUGUAUUUUUGGGCCCAGCAUUAAUUCCCUCAUCCUUGGCUGGUGACAUUAAGAUUUGUAACUGAUAGAAUGUGUUUUUAAUGUAUUUCCUGCAGGUUACUAUUAAAGAAAUCUAAUUCUUCUGAACUUGCAAAAGGUUCUGCUUCCAUUUAAAAAAAAAAAAAAAGGCAUUACGGGAAGAAUUUCCCUGCAGCCUUCAGAAGGACCGGGCAGCCAGCAGGGUCUGGGGCUCCGGAAUUCUCUGCUUAGCUCUGCCACUCAUUCUUCCUCCUCCCGCCCAGUCUGUACUCCUCUCCGGGCCUUCAUUUUCCUGGGUAUGAAGUGAGGAUAAAUAUUUGUCCAUGAGAUGAGGGUGUUGUAAGGAUUAAUUGGUUGGUGCUUCGGGAAACCUUUGAAGAUGAAAGACGCUCUCUGCAGAUGCUAAGUAAACUCGUAACGUGUCUGGUUUUAAUGAGCCAGGUGAAGCCAGAGGGGAUGGCUGGAGAUUAACUGUGCCUAGUCCAGAGC